GGGGAAGUAUUGCACAAUGGGCGGCAAGCCUGAUGCAGCCAUGCCGCGUGUAUGAAGAAGGCCUCGGGUUGUAAAGUACUUUCAGCGGGGAGGAAGGGGUUAAGGUUAAUAACCUUAGUCAUUGACGUUACCCGCAGAAGAAGCACCGGCUAACUCCGUGCCAGCAGCCGCGGUAAUACGGAGGGUGCAAGCGUUAAUCGGAAUUACUGGGCGUAAAGCGCACGCAGGCGGUCUGUCAAGUCGGAUGUGAAAUCCCCGGGCUCAACCUGGGAACUGCAUUCGAAACUGGCAGGCUUGAGUCUCGUAGAGGGGGGUAGAAUUCCAGGUGUAGCGGUGAAAUGCGUAGAGAUCUGGAGGAAUACCGGUGGCGAAGGCGGCCCCCUGGACGAAGACUGACGCUCAGGUGCGAAAGCGUGGGGAGCAAACA
rnacentral:rRNA from 1 species